CAGUCGCCGCGGUAAUCCGUAGGUGGCAAGCGUUGUCCGGAAUUAUUGGGCGUAAAGGGCUCGCAGGCGGUUUCUUAAGUCUGAUGUGAAAGCCCCCGGCUCAAUCGGGGAGGGUCAUUGGAAACUGGGAAACUUGAGUGCAGAAGAGGAGAGUGGAAUUCCACGUGUAGCGGUGAAAUGCGUAGAGAUGUGGAGGAACACCAGUGGCGAAGGCGACUCUCUGGUCUGUAACUGACGCUGAGGAGCGAAAGCGUGGGGAGCGAACAGGAUUAGAUACCCCGGUAGUCCCUGUCUCUUAUAU
rnacentral:rRNA from 1 species